AUGCAGAGGAUAGAGGAAAAAUCCUCUGCCCCUGUCGGGGAUCGAACCCCGGUCGUCCAGCCCGUAGCUAGUCACUAUGCUGACUGAGCUAUCCCGGCUCAUAAAUAUUUUAUGUUACAGAAUGUUAUUACCAUAAUUAGGGUCUUUUAUUACAGAUUCUUUGUUGAAUGUGUCCACUAUAAUUCUUUCAGUUGGCUGCAAAGCAAUCAUUUCAUAUGCUAGUCUCUUAGGCAAGUGAGAGCUUGGUGUGAGUCGCUGAAGGACAUUUCUCACCCUAUUCACGAGGUAAAUCUAAUUCAUUCUUUGUAUUUGUUCGAGACUCUCGUGGGCAAGGAGGGAUGUGUGUGCUACAUCAUUCACAGGCAAAACGAUGUUCUGACUGAAGAAGACUGAGUCACUCACGGCUGUCAUGAAUGGCCCAUCUCUAGUGCACUAGCAAUAAAAUUGUCUUCUAUGACAUUUGGUAGGACUCCUUGGACAAGUAAUCAGCCUGUCACAAGGCCUCUACCUAUACAGGACAGCACAAGACAGAAAGACACGGACAAACAUCCAUGCCUUGAUUGGGAUUUGAACCCAUGGUCCCAGUGUCCGAGCAGUCGAGGCCCACACUUCAGACCAUGCACCAUUCAGCCACUGUAACCAGCUAUUAGACUUUUGCAGAAUCAUAAAUAAAUAUAGAGAAGGGCUACCAAUUCUUGAUGGGAUUGAACACUGGCUUGUGUGUUUUGAACCAUGUGAUGUAGCUCAGUCUGGUUUGUCAUUGCUGCGAUCAUUACCACAGAUUAAUAUCAGUGGCAAAUCCUGAUCUGGACAUCAGGUCAUACAGAAAUGCAUUGUCAUUAAACCCCUCAAUAUUUGCAUCACAAUGCUAAAAUAUUUUAUUAUAAUAAUGAUAAUAAUAGUAUGGCACUUACGUUAUAUAAUAGCCAAUGUCUGUUAUGCGUAUCUGGAAGAGUGCAUUGUUUGUGGGAUGUGAAAAAAGUAGUAAAUUAAUUUCUAGAUAUAGAUGUAAGUGAAUAAUUUACUCAUUUAAAGAUCUCCUAUUUCUUUAUACUGUACACUGCAUUUUAACAUGAGAAAGCAUACUUAUGGCUGUAAUGGAUGAUUUUAGUUCACUAUAGUAUAAUUAUUGCUGAUAUUUAAUAUGCAUGAUAACAGAAAUCUAUAACCAGAUAUUUAUAGCAUUUACUUUCCAUGUAAGGCAAGUUGACUCAGCAUGGUUUACUCAUUUACAUUUGAAAUUCAGGCUUAUAUUACCGUUUUUUCCAGUGUCUAAGACACACUUUUUUAUUGUUAAAAUAAGCCUCAAAAUUACUGUGCUUCUUAUUUGGCAAAGGUUGCCACUCUUGCCAGUGCACAUGCUCUCUGAAUCGGCCACAGUCGGUUAAUUUUGUUUCAUAUCCUUUUCUUGUAACUUCCCCCCCCGAAGAAGUAAUGUUUAAUUGUCAUCAUAAUUUUCGUAUGGUAACUAUUGUUACAGUUGAAUGAUCUGUUUUUGUAAGGUUAGAUAUAUCAGUUUGUUCGAUUUUUAGUUUUGUACCUUAAAAUUUUUUUGAUUUCGGAUGUGCAUCUUAUACACUGGAAAAUAUGGUGUGUUAAGCAGUUCAUGCUUUGGAUACUUUACAUUGUACUUAAAAUAAAUACUUCAUCCUAAAGAAUUAACUUGUUUUGUGCUCUUCAUGUGCACUUUGUUUAAUGGCGUGGGACUUUGACACCUAUACAGCUUCCCAUUAUUGCUGAAAUGUUUCAAGUUAAGACAGUUCUAAUCAUGUAAAGUCUUUAUUAUUGAAUAUAUUCAGAUGUUAAUUUUUAAUGGAUAUAAGGUAUGUCAUGGUUUUUCCACACUUUUUUAUGGAACUGUAAGGUUCGUUACUGUGUUCACAGACACUUGUAGAAGUGGUAAUAAUGUUUGAAGUGUCAACCAUCGACUUUGAACAAUGCUGCCUAACCACUCUUCUCAGUCUAGAUUUGAUUAUCUGAUCUCACUGAAUAUUUUCUAAUCUAGACAGGCUGUUUAUAUAAUUAGUUUUAUCAUCGUGCACACUUGGGGGCCUGCCGGUUUGUAAAUGGUUCUGAAAUAAUACACAGCUUUGAAUUGAACUGCUAAUACAACAGUUAACAGUCAACAGUCAGUUAACAGUGUCAAAACUUGAAUUUAAAUUGUGUAUAAUAUAUGUAUACAUAAUGUAAGUAUCUCUUGUAACAAGAAAUUAUUUGGGGAUUAGUGCGUAUUUCUGCUAUACCACUGAUGGAUCUUUCUCUAGUUUCUGUUUGAGACAAUUUUAAUUGAUGUGUAAAAAGCUAAUUUAUGUUGUUGAUAAUGACCUUCCCCCUGCUAUAUAACAAGAAAAUCCCUGUUUAUAUACAAGUAAUUGUGUAGGCAUACAUCUCUGUAAUUAACAGCAUGCAUGUGUUUCAAAUGACUGUAUUUAAUGGUGAACAUACUUUAGUGUCUGCCAAGAUUUUAUAUAUAUAAAGAUGGCUUUAGUUACACUUAAGAUUAAUUUGUAUUUAAUUUUGUAAUGGGUAUAAUUAACUAAGAUAGUGUAAGACAUGAAUGGGUUAUGUAUUUAGUUUUAAAUUCAAAUUUAUAUUUUAUAUCUAAUAAUUAAAUUGUUAUUGCUUUUUUAA